rnacentral:rRNA from 1 species
UACGUAGGGGGCUAGCGUUGUCCGGAAUCAUUGGGCGUAAAGCGCGUGUAGGCGGUCCGGUAAGUCCGCUGUGAAAGUCGGGGGCUCAACCCUCGAAUGCCGGUGGAUACUGUCGGGCUAGAGUACGGAAGAGGCGAGUGGAAUUCCUGGUGUAGCGGUGAAAUGCGCAGAUAUCAGGAGGAACACCAAUUGCGAAGGCAGCUCGCUGGGACGUUACUGACGCUGAGACGCGAAAGCGUGGGGAGCAAACAG